UCCGGCCCUGCAGGGAGUGGAAGCGGGGCCCCACGGCGCCGCGCAGUCAGCGGCGGUUCGUGCUGGCCGUGACGUCUCAUCCUCGGACAUUUCCGUAGGCACUUAUGUUAAAAGAGUUUGCCGUGGUGCCGUACGUCCUCAUUAUGUCAUUAUGGCAGCCAGGAAAGCAGCUCAGCGCAGCUGCCGCUUCUGUGCGCUGCUCCGUUCCGGCUGCAUCACAGCGCCGCCAGGCCCAGAGCAGCGGAGCUCGGGCUCAGAGGCGGCGGAGGGUGGGAAGCGCCGCGGAGAGCCCGCAGCUGAACCCCCAGGGCAGCGCACCUGCUAUAGCCACAAACGGCAGGAAAAAAUGUGCAGAGAGGGGCUGGAAUUCACCGUUUCUGCCACAAGUCAUGAAGAUGUUGCUGUCACCCACUUGUGCUGCACAGAUCAUGUUUCACAGAAGAGCCAGGCAAGCUGAAGAGAAAUAUCUGUGAGAGGGAGGAAUGCAAAGAGAAGCACUCAUCACCUGUGAUGUGCUGUCUGUACUUUCGUUUGAUCCUCUGAUUGUCUGUCUCACAUCCAUCCCAGCACUGGCCUUUUUGGCUACUCACACAACUGGCCCUCUCUCACUCACCUUUUGAGAUGGAUGUGUUCUGUACACUGUUUAUGAUGAGGGGGGGGAAAGUGUGACAGACAUCUGUGACUUUGCUCCUGCCAGUUCUGGCAAAUAUGUCUUUAGUUUUCCUAUGUGUACAUGAAGUUCCAGCCUGCAGAUGUUUCCAGUCCAGUCAGGGCUGAAGGACAGUCCUGUCCUGUUGGAUGUCUGUUCCCAGAAGGAGUCUGGCAAGGAUGAGCAGCUGGUCAGAUCUGCCAAAGAUGCCAGCAUGGUGUGGAAGCACAAGCAAAGCCAUAUUCAUGGCACAGCUCUGAGUAUGAUCAGAAGCCAGAUGUUCCAGAGAAAAACUGGAGAACAUGCAGGGAGAACAAUGUGAAAGAGGGUAUGGUCAUCUGGAGAGGGGAGCAACAGGGAGUGUGAUACUAGAAAUAAGACAGGUAUUGGGGUGAGGGAGAGGGGGAGAUGAUGGCAGAACUGACAAAGAGAUUUUGACCACAAUAUGGUAGAGCAAAGGAAGGGAGGUGAUGCUUGAUGAAAGUAGGCAUGAGUCAAGCAUGGGACACUGGAGGACAAAAUGGUAGUUAUCCAUGAGAGCAGAAACUAGAAUUGUCAUGGAGUACAGAGGGGAGCUUGAAUUAAGUAAGAGCAGGCUGUGGGACAGAAUGUAAGAAGAGUGACAACUGCUUAUUUGUGGUGUGAAUUUAAAUUCUUAACUUGGAAGUAUUCUGUGCCAUCCUACACCAUUUGCCAUUAACACAACAUUGCAGUGACGGCGCAGGUUAAACAACAUUGAAAGGUCAACUAAAAUCAAAUAUAUGAAUCACAGAAUAUUCUGAGAUGGAAGAGAUCCACAAGUUGUCAUCAAAGUCCAACUCCUGGCCCUACACAGGACAAACCCAAGAGUCACAAGUGCUAGCCACCAUGUUGGAAAAAAAGUU